CGUCCCCGUUCGGGGGACAGGGUGACGAGGUUGGUGCAUGGUUGUCGUCAGCUCGUGUCGUGAGAUGUUGGGUUAAGUCCCGCAACGAGCGCAACCCUCGCCUCUAGUUGCCAGCAUCGGUUGGGCACUCUAGAGGGACUGCCGGCGACAAGUCGGAGGAAGUGGGAUGACGUCAAAUCAUCAUGCCCCUUAUGACCUGGGCUACACACGUGCUACAAUGGGCGGUACAAAGGGCUGCGAACCCGCGAGGGGGAGCGAAUCCCAAAAAGCCGCUCUCAGUUCGGAUUGCAGGCUGCAACUCGCCUGCAUGAAGCCGGAAUCGCUAGUAAUCGCGGAUCAGCAUGCCGCGGUGAAUACGUUCCCGGGCCUU
rnacentral:rRNA from 1 species